UAUGACAGUUAUAUGUCUUAUGGUGACCUUGGAUUAGGGGCUGGGCUGACUGGCUCAAAGUUCUGCCCAGCCCAAUACACUUGCUUGGCUUUAUUAAUAGAAUUAAAUGUGCGCAGCAACUCUUUUCAGAGGUUGGUGACCUGAAGCGAUAUUCAAUACAUUAUGAUAGGAGUGGAAGAUCAAAGGAUGUUAUGUCAGCUGUCAAGAGGUACAACAAUGUGCUGCUUGAUGGGAAGCCAGUGGAAAUUGAGAUUGUGGGAACAAAUAUUGCGACUCCUGCCAUGCCUCCAGCUGCAAAUGGUUCUUCUGGAAAUUUACAUGGGGUUCCAAGAAGGGUUCGCCAGAUUUUGAUGGAUAGCUGAUGCGUCUAAAUGCUUCUUUUGAGUUAUCAUUUGUUUGUCAAACUAUGGAUGCUAUGAUUUCUUGUCCCUUUUUAUGCAAUUUGAAGACUUUAUUGAUUGCACGACAAAUUAAAAGCAUGCCACUUCGUGCAUUACUACUAUCAUUAAGGGUGAGUUUCUAUUAAAAUUCCUAGAUUGAUAGUUCAGUGAAUGGCUAAUGUGAUAAGCCUAGAGAAGAGUGUCCAUAAAUAUUGUCUUGAAUACUUGUGGUCCCUGGUUGUAUAAGAUGGUAAUGCAAUUUUGAAGCUCAUUGAAUCCUUUUAAAAACACCAGGAGAUUGAUACCCAUUGUGUAGUGGUAAUCAAAUUUUUUUAGUUUGAAUGUUUGCAAGGAUUCUUCAAAAGUAAACCUCUCUUCCUAAAAUAUACAAAUAAAGCAACAUGGUUCUUGAUGAUCUUUCCCCUAGAACCACUUAUAAGUUAUAAUUAUUGGAGAAUUGGCUCCAAAAUUGUUCCAGCAAUUACUUGAAAAGUGAAG